rnacentral:rRNA from 1 species
UUUUGCAUAAUGAGCCUGCGAGUUGUGGUGUCUGGCAAGGUUAAGCAAACGCGAAGCCGUAGCGAAAGCGAGUCUGAAUAGGGCGCUUAGUCAGAUGCUGCAGACCCGAAACGAAGUGAUCUAUCCAUGAGCAAGUUGAAGCUAGUGUAAGAACUAGUGGAGGACUGAACCCAUAGGCGUUGAAAAGCCCCGGGAUGACUUGUGGAUAGGGGUGAAAGGCCAAUCAAACUUCGUGAUAGCUGGUUCUCUCCGAAAUAUAUUUAGGUAUAGCGUUGUGUCGUAAUAUAAGGGGGUAGAGCACUGAAUGGGCUAGGGCAUACACCAAUGUACCAAACCCUAUCAAACUCCGAAUACCUUAUAUGUAAUCACAGCAGUCAGGCGGCGAGUGAUAAAAUCCGUCGUCAAGAGGGAAACAACCCAGACUACCAGCUAAGGUCCCUAAAUCUUACUUAAGUGGAAAACGAUGUGAAGUUACUUAAACAACCAGGAGGUUGGCUUAGAAGCAGCCAUCCUUUAAAGAAAGCGUAAUAGCUCACUGGUCUAGUGAUUUUGCGCGGAAAAUAUAACGGGGCUAAAGUAAGUACCGAAGCUGUAGACUUAGUUUACUAAGUGGUAGGAGAGCGUUCUAUUUGCGUCGAAGGUAUACCGGUAAGGAGUGCUGGAGCGAAUAGAAGUGAGCAUGCAGGCAUGAGUAGCGAUAAUUAAUGUGAGAAUCAUUAACGCCGUAAACCCAAGGUUUCCUACGCGAUGCUCGUCAUCGUAGGGUUAGUCGGGUCCUAAGUCGAGUCCGAAAGGGGUAGACGAUGGCAAAUUGGUUAAUAUUCCAAUACCAACAUUAGUGUGCGAUGGAAGGACGCUUAGGGCUAAGGGGGCUAGCGGAUGGAAGUGCUAGUCUAAGGUCGUAGGAGGUUAUACAGGCAAAUCCGUAUAACAAUACUCCGAGAACUGAAAGGCUUUUUGAAGUCUUCGGAUGGAUAGAAGAACCCCUGAUGCCGUCGAGCCAAGAAAAGUUUCUAAGUUUAGCUAAUGUUGCCCGUACCGUAAACCGACACAGGUGGGUGGGAUGAGUAUUCUAAGGCGCGUGGAAGAACUCUCUUUAAGGAACUCUGCAAAAUAGCACCGUAUCUUCGGUAUAAGGUGUGGUUAGCUUUGUAUUAGGAUUUACUCCGAAAGCAAGGAAACUUACAACAAAGAGUCCCUCCCGACUGUUUACCAAAAACACAGCACUCUGCUAACUCGUAAGAGGAUGUAUAGGGUGUGACGCCUGCCCGGUGCUCGAAGGUUAAUUGAUGGGGUUAGCAUUAGCGAAGCUCUUGAUCGAAGCCCGAGUAAACGGCGGCCGUAACUAUAACGGUCCUAAGGUAGCGAAAUUCCUUGUCGGUUAAAUACCGACCUGCAUGAAUGGCGUAACGAGAUGGGAGCUGUCUCAAAGAGGGAUCCAGUGAAAUUGUAGUGGAGGUGAAAAUUCCUCCUACCCGCGGCAAGACGGAAAGACCCCGUGGACCUUUACUACAGCUUGACACUGCUACUUGGAUAAGAAUGUGCAGGAUAGGUGGGAGGCUUUGAGUAUAUGACGCCAGUUGUAUAUGAGCCAUUGUUGAGAUACCACUCUUUCUUAUUUGGGUAGCUAACCAGCUUGAGUUAUCCUCAAGUGGGACAAUGUCUGGUGGGUAGUUUGACUGGGGCGGUCGCCUCCCAAAUAAUAACGGAGGCUUACAAAGGUUGGCUCAGAACGGUUGGAAAUCGUUCGUAGAGUAUAAAGGUAUAAGCCAGCUUAACUGCAAGACAUACAAGUCAAGCAGAGACGAAAGUCGGUCUUAGUGAUCCGGUGGUUCUGUGUGGAAGGGCCAUCGCUCAAAGGAUAAAAGGUACCCCGGGGAUAACAGGCUGAUCUCCCCCAAGAGCUCACAUCGACGGGGAGGUUUGGCACCUCGAUGUCGGCUCAUCGCAUCCUGGGGCUGGAGCAGGUCCCAAGGGUAUGGCUGUUCGCCAUUUAAAGCGGUACGCGAGCUGGGUUCAGAACGUCGUGAGACAGUUCGGUCCCUAUCUGCCGUGGGCGUAAGAAGAUUGAAGAGAUUUGACCCUAGUACGAGAGGACCGGGUUGAACAAACCACUGGUGUAGCUGUUGUUCUGCCAAGAGCAUCGCAGCGUAGCUAAGUUUGGAAAGGAUAAACGCUGAAAGCAUCUAAGCGUGAAGCCAACUCUAAGAUGAAUCUUCUCUAAGCUCUCUAGAAGACUACUAGUUUGAUAGGCUGGGUGUGUAAUGGAUGAAAGUCCUUUAGCUGACCAGUACUAAUAGAGCGUUUGGCUUAUCUUU